rnacentral:rRNA from 1 species
GCCUCUGCUAAUGUGUACCUAGUUUAUACUAAGUGACCCAUAGGUUGAGGAGGCUGUGACUGUGGCGGUUUUUAUAUAUAUUUUUAUAUAUAUAUAUUUUAAUUGGGGUAGCCCCUAAAAAUUGGGACACAUAAAAAAGACAACUCUGUUCCGCAGAGUAGCUGUUGACAUUAUAGUUGUGCAGGAACUUUGUUGACUCUAGAGAACCUUGGGCAAAUCGCACAUCCCCGUGGCGGCGACUUUGCAUGAGGAUGUCAUCCAUAUCAACUUUCGAUGCCAGAUUCUGCACCUACCAUGGUGACCAUGGGUAACGGGGAAUCAGGGUUCCAUUCCGUACAGGGACCCUGAGAAACGGCUACCAAAUGCAAGGACGGCAGCAGGUGCGCAAAUGACCCACUCCCAACGCGGGAAGGUAGUGACGACAAAUAACAAUACAGGACUCUUUAGAGGCCCUGUAAUUGUAAUGAGUCCACUUGAAAUUCUUUAACUCUGAUCAAUUGGAGGGAAGUCUGGUGCAGAGCCACUGACCCGUUCUUGCUGC